rnacentral:lncRNA from 1 species
UGGAUGAUGAUGAAAUGACAAAAGAGUCACUAGCUAGCUAGCUGCCAUUAAUAUAUAAAAUGCAUCACUUAAUUGGUGGUCAAAUCGAAUCUUUACUCUCGCCAAGAGAUAAUUUAGACAAGAAGAUAGAAUAUAACAAUAAGAGACAAAUCAAGUAAAGAAGAGAAUCAGAAGAUUUGGUCGUGGAAAUGAAGCAAACAAACACCGGUGACCAGGUAGAGAUAGGUUGAUUAGGUUACGAAGUUUCUCGAGUUCGCAAUGACGGCAACUUACACUUGACUUGGUCACUUGGCCAUUUCCAAAAAAGAAGAGAAGACAGAGUGCAUGGCAGGCUAUUCAGGCACUGCCUGCCACACUAUACCGAGGGGUUUGCACCCAAAAGUUGCCCCAACUUAUAGAACAAAGUGAUCGAAAUCGGAGCAACGGGACAAGUGGACAACAGAGUUUUGUUCAGAGCAAUCUCACCGUAAUUGUUGACCGGAGCAAAUGUCAGUGAAGAUAGAAAAGCCAGCAGACAACUAAACAAGUAAACUCAGAAUCGGGAGAUCCUUGACAACAGGAUGGACGUACCACGACGGGGUGGAGUGAUAAGAACACAAAUUUAAACCAUUAGUUCUCAGUUCCUCAACCCGGAGUCCCGGACAGUUAGACUGGGACAGAGGCGGCCGAGGCGCCGCUCUCUCUCUCUCUCUCUCUCUCUCUCUCUCUCUCUCUCUCUCUCUCUCUCUCUCUCCAUUUGCUUCAUUUGCUUGAGCCAUUUGGAUUCAUUUCCAUGAAAUAUAUGUACGUACGUAUAUAUGUGCUCUUGCGCAGACCAAGUCUGCAAAGAAAAAUUCCAGUACGUGUCGAUCAGAUAUAUAUGCAGUGCUUAUUUCAUAUGCGUCGCCGUCCUCAUCCUUGUUAAUUUUCAUCCUCCAUCCUCGUCAAUUCCAGCUACGAACCAUCUUCUGGUACGUAAUUAAGUACUCAAACUGACUAGCUAAGUUAACUCCUUAAGAACAUGCAGUAGUGCUCUUAAC